GAACGCUGGACUUGCAGGGCGGGGAAUGGAGGUCCAGUCUGAGCUGCGCGUGGGAGCAUUUAUUUAUACCCCUGGUUGACUACUAAAGGUUAAAGAGGCAGCUAAGACUGAUAUAUGAUCUUACCUCUGCUUUUAAAGGGGGCUGUUUCUCUUUCACAUACUGCUUCUGCAAAACCUUCAGCACAUAAAGCAGCCAAGCCAGUUUGACCAGCUUGAGGGAAACACCAAACAAAGCUCCAAUCACAUGAACACUAGUUACUAAUUAUCUUCUGGGCUCUGUGGGGAAAGAUAUAGCAGCUCACUGAUUGGAUCCUGAGGUUGAAAUAACUCCACAUCUCUCCGCGCUCCAACUGCAGCAGCAAGACGAGUGACUUGAGUGCUUGGGAGACAUUUUAAGAAGGACAGAUAGAGCCUUAGGUUAAACUGUACCUGUCCACAUUUCAGCCCAACCCAGGCCCAUGGAAGAGCGCAGUAAGACUUGUGUCUUUAAGAAUGCUGAAUAUGUGUGAAACCCAAGAGAUUAGAAAAGAAAGAGAAGCAGAGAAGAAUGGGCACUGGGGCUCCAGCUGGGAGUAUGAAGACUGCGGGAGUCUACGGAAGGCGGACCCUACAAUGCUGGACGGAGUUUACAGAGAAGGUGACUUGCGUUCCAGAUACCGGACCACGGGGCGGAUCCGGCCCUACAGAAAAAGGCAUUGUGGAUAUUGGGAUUUUGAGCAGAGUGAACCAAGCUACGCGGACUAUGAGGAAGCGAAGGAAAGUGGAAAGGACUAUUUGUACCAUGGAAGUGUGAUUCAUGGAAGAGAGGGUUAUAGGAAUUCAGAAAAUAUAGAUGAUGGGAACCUGAGCCCUGGGACUGAGAAUAAUUCGCUUAAAGGAAGCCCAGAUGUAACCUGGAAAGGUGGAGGAUACAGGGAGGUGAACGGCUCCAUAGAUCCUAAGAAUCUGAAUUAUAGUCCUGAGGACUCAGAAGAAACUGAAGAGUGGACUGGCUGCAGGGAUCUGGAUGAUUCUUUGGGGAAUUUUGGUCAACCUCAAAACUGGCACAUGUACCACAGGAAUUUUAAUGAUAAUCUUGAAGAUUGUAAAGAAACUAAUUUUUCUUCUAGAGACUUCAACGAUUUAUAUGAUAUUCCUGAGAAUUAUACUAAUGGUCACUCUGUGGACUUCCCAGAUUUGAAGGGUGUCAGUGAAGGUAAGGAAUUUGUCAAAAACUAUGAAGAUGACAGGAAUGUUUAUCAAAAUGAUAAAGUCUAUCCCAAAUCAAAGACUCAUGCCAUGGAUCAAAGUAACUUUGAGACAGAAAAUAAAGGCAAUGAUACUCUAUUUGCAAACUGUGAGUAUAAAUUUCAGAAUUACAGAGGCACAGGUUCUCUCUGUCCGAUGAAGAAUGUGGAGUAUAAUGGCCUUAACAGACCGGGGAUGAUGGCACUUGGGGGCAGAGGGAUCCCCCUGGAUGGUCUGCAGAAUCCCCGGACUAGGGGGGACCAAGGAGAACGUUGUGGCAUUCCUCAGGGCCCUUCAUUAGAGAAGAGCACCUGGCAUUUAGAGAAAGAGAGAAAAUUCAAUCGCCCAGAGACUUGGAAAAGGAAUAGUUGCCUUCGCCGCACAGCACCCAGCACCCUGAGACGCUCAGAAUUUGUGCAAAACAGGAAGAGAACUCAAGACAUUAGAGGAAAAGAAGACGUAACUUGUUUUAUGGAGGGUUCCUUCCUUGACAUUCAGAAAUCUUAAGUGAAUCUUGUGGGAUUCUGAAGAUUAUUUACAUUCUUCGUGGUGCUUCAUGCAUGUCAGAUUCAUUAAUUCAAAUGGAAAUAACUUUAAAGACCGUCUAGUUUAACCCCACUCGAUUUGCUGUUCCUGAACACCAGACGGGUGACAUGACUACCCUGGAUGAAGAAAGCUCUGGAAG